rnacentral:rRNA from 1 species
GGUUAAGCGACUAAGCGUACACGGUGGAUGCCCUGGCAGUCAGAGGCGAUGAAGGACGUGCUAAUCUGCGAUAAGCGUCGGUGAGGUGAUAUGAACCGUUAUAACCGGCGAUUUCCGAAUGGGGAAACCCAGUGUGUUUCGACACACUAUCAUUA